GUGUGUGAGGUUUUGUGCUUUUGCUUAAGCAGAUGCAUGCUCUUAACAGAACUGUGGGAAUAUACUGGGGGAAGAGAAUUUCUGUAGGAGCAAAGGGAAUGAAAUGUUAUAAGUUAAUUUACUUUUAUUUACUUUUAGAAGUUAUAUCCUUGACUUAGCAUUUGCUGGUGAUGGCUAUUGAGACCACUGAAGGCAGCUGAGGUCUGCUGCAUGUUAAACAGAAGGUCAGGAAGCUGAACAAUCCAGGUAGAAAGUGACUGACACUUGUCCUUGUGGGAGGACUCUGCUGCAUAAGAAGAAUUACCAGAAAUGUCUGAUGCGUGACAGAGCUGCUUACAGAAAGCUGGAGGCAAAAGAUGCAAAGGGAUAUUUGCAU